rnacentral:rRNA from 1 species
AGGGUUUGAUCAUGGCUCAGAUUGAACGCUGGCGGCAGGCCUAACACAUGCAAGUCGAGCGGUAACAGGCCUCACCACUAAAUUGUUUCGAGAGUAGAUUGCUUUGAUGGAUUGGUUUUAUAACUGAUAUCGAAUGCUCUGCUACUGUUUAGACGAUUUAGUGGUGAGGUGCUGACGAGCGGCGGACGGGUGCGUAACACGUAGGAAUCUACCCAGUAGCGGGGGAUAGCCCGGAGAAAUCCGGAUUAAUACCGCAUAAGCCUUACGAGGGAAAGCAGGGGCUCGCUCUUUCGAGAGUGACCUUGCACUAUUGGAUGAGCCUGCGUCGGAUUAGCUUGUUGGUGGGGUAAAGGCCUACCAAGGCGACGAUCCGUAGCUGGUCUGAGAGGAUGAUCAGCCACACUGGGACUGAGACACGGCCCAGACUCCUACGGGAGGCAGCAGUGGGGAAUAUUGCACAAUGGGCGCAAGCCUGAUGCAGCCAUGCCGCGUGUGUGAAGAAGGCUCUAGGGUUGUAAAGCACUUUCAGCGAGGAGGAAAGGUUGUACGUUAAUACCGUGCAGCUGUGACGUUACUCGCAGAAGAAGCACCGGCUAACUCCGUGCCAGCAGCCGCGGUAAUACGGAGGGUGCGAGCGUUAAUCGGAAUUACUGGGCGUAAAGCGUGCGUAGGCGGCUUGUUAAGUUGGAUGUGAAAGCCCCGGGCUCAACCUGGGAACUGCACCCAAAACUGGCAAGCUAGAGUGCGGAAGAGGAGUGUGGAAUUUCCUGUGUAGCGGUG